rnacentral:rRNA from 1 species
AUUGAACGCUGGCGGCAUGCCUUACACAUGCAAGUCGAACGGUAACGGGCCUUCGGGUGCCGACGAGUGGCGAACGGGUGAGUAAUGUAUCGGAACGUACCUUUCAGUGGGGAUAACGUAGCGAAAGUUACGCUAAUACCGCAUAUUCUGUGAGCAGGAAGGCAGGGGAUCGCAAGACCUUGCGCUGAUUGAGCGGCCGAUAUCAGAUUAGCUAGUUGGUGAGGUAAAGGCUCACCAAGGCGACGAUCUGUAGCGGGUCUGAGAGGAUGAUCCGCCACACUGGAACUGAGACACGGUCCAGACUCCUACGGGAGGCAGCAGUGGGGAAUUUUGGACAAUGGGGGCAACCCUGAUCCAGCCAUGCCGCGUGAGUGAAGAAGGCC